rnacentral:ncRNA from 1 species
GUUUUUGCCGAUUAAAAGGGAAUCGGGUGCAAAUCCCGAACAGUCCCGCUGCUGUGAGUUCUUCAAUAUAUUGCUUGACAAUCCGUGCCACUGUUUGCUCACAAAGAGAAAAUGGGAAGGCGUCUUGCAAGGAACGAGUCAGAAGACCUGCCGUGCGUUUAU